rnacentral:rRNA from 1 species
CUGAUGUUAGCGGCGGACGGGUGAGUAACACGUGGGUAACCUACCUAUAAGACUGGGAUAACUCCGGGAAACCGGGGCUAAUACCGGAUAAUAUUUUGAACCGCAUGGUUCGAUAGUGAAAGACGGUUUCGGCUGUCACUUAUAGAUGGACCCGCGCCGUAUUAGCUAGUUGGUAAGGUAACGGCUUACCAAGGCGACGAUACGUAGCCGACCUGAGAGGGUGAUCGGCCACACUGGAACUGAGACACGGUCCAGACUCCUACGGGAGGCAGCAGUC